GGAGGUAAAAGUAUUCCACUCAUCAAACGAAUCAAGAUCUCCAUUUGUUGAAUCGUGUUUAGGUGCAGGUGCAUUAUGAGUCUGCCAUGUGUCAUCUUGAAACCAAUCAAUGCUAGUUGAGGGGUCCUCUGAACUAUUUUGUAAUUCAGCAUUCUUGGGUCUGGAAAUUGGAAGAAUUUCCCCAGCUUUCUGUGAUGCUUCCAGAUUUGCACUAUCCCAUAGGUCAACUGCUGGCCAGUCAUUCGCUGCAGGAGGAACAUCUACAACGUCCUUCAGUUUCCCAUCUGUUGGGCCUUCUGUGGUUCCAAAAACUGUGUCUAACUGAGCAGAAAGAUCAAUAUCUGCGCCAACCAAAGCAUCAGUUGAUUUGGAACCCUCAUGGUUUCCAG
rnacentral:misc_RNA from 1 species